rnacentral:piRNA from 1 species
UGAUGGAACGCAGAGCUAAGGAGGC